rnacentral:rRNA from 1 species
UACCGAGUUAGGGUCUCACCGGCCCGAUCUCCCAACCCUUUGUCUACUUGACCAUCGUUGCUUCGGCGAGCCCGUCCUCACGGACCGCCGGGGGGUCUUUGUACCCCUUGGCCCGCGCUCGUCGACAGCCCCCAAAUUUAAAAAAUCUUAACUAAACGUGUCUUGAAUCUAAGUAUUAUUGUUAAAUAAAAACAAAACUUUCAACAACGGAUCUCUUGGUUCUGGCAUCGAUGAAGAACGCAGCGAAAUGCGAUAAGUAAUGCGAAUUGCAGAAUUCCAGUGAGUCAUCGAAUCUUUGAACGCACAUUGCGCCCUUUGGUAUUCCGAAGGGCAUGCCUGUUCGAGCGUCAUUAUCACCCCUCAAGCCCUCGGCUUGGUGUUGGACGGUUUGGUGGAGACCCCCUUUGCGGGCUUCUACCCCUCCCAAAGACAAUGACGGCGGCCUCGUUGGACCCCCGGUACACUGAGUUCUUCACGGGACACGUAUCGGACACAUGGGUUCACGGGACACGGUCUGCCUCCCCUCAGGGAGAAUCUUUUUUUAUCAAGGUUGACCUCGGAUCAGGUAGGGAUACCCGCUGAACUUAAGCAUAUCAAUAAGCGGAGGAAAAGAAACCAACAGGGAUUGCCUCAGUAACGGCGAGUGAAGCGGCAACAGCUCAAAUUUGAAAUCUGGCCUCUUUGGGGUCCGAGUUGUAAUUUGUAGAGGAUGUUUCGGGUACCGCCUCGGUUUAAAUUUCUUGGAACAGAAUGUCAGAGAGGGUGA